GUUUUCAGUAUUCUUUCGGAUGCGACGUGCACUCGUGAAAAUAUUCUUAAAAUUAAAAUUUUAAAAAGGAAAAAACCAAAAACUCUUAAGAAACAGCUGUUGAAAGGAGGCGGGAUUUUACAAUUGUUUUCUAUUCGAUGACGAUGAGAAUUUGAGUUUAAAAUGCGUAGGACUGCUGUUGUUGGUGGUGGAGGUAGUGGUGGUGGUGGUGGUAGUAACAGCGUCGGCGGAUCUUCAUAUCCUACUCCGACGAGCAAACGCAUUCGAAAUAUCGAUGAAUUGAUUUAUCAGUACGAGAAACGUUACCAAACUUCUCAUCAUCCACCAUCCCGUGGUGAAGGUGGAAUAGAAUUAUAUUUAAAUCGCCCUUGGCCAUCCAAUUAUCACGGGGCGGGCUCGUUGAGUUCGUUGACUGAUUCAGAAUUUUGCAGCGAUAGUGAUGCGCCACCACGCCAAAUAGCUCAGCCAAAAGUCUAUCUUACAAAUGCAUCCCCGCGCAGUAUGGUCACCAUCGCCGCCACUGGGGAAGAGCAAGUCAUUUAUAAUCUGACAAUGGUUGGACGUUUUCUUGAUAUGCUGCAGCGGAUGCCGCUGCCACGAAUGUCCCUUACCGCAACUGGCAUAUGUUUUCUAAUAGCUAUUUUCAUCACACCAAAAACCUGUGCUCAAAGUGUUAUAUUUCCAACUUUCAGAUUGACCUUUGGCACCCUAUAUCCAGCCUAUGCGUCCUACAAAGCAGUUCGGACUAAAAAUGUAAAGGAAUAUGUAAAAUGGAUGAUGUAUUGGAUUGUUUAUGCAUUUUUUAACUGCACCGAAACAUUCACUGACAUCUUUCUUUCGUGGUUCCCGUUCUAUUAUGAAGUCAAAGUGAUAAUCGUGCUAUGGCUUCUUUCGCCAGCAACCAAAGGCAGUUCCACAUUGUAUCGCAAAUUUGUUCAUCCUAUGCUCACGCGACGAGAACAGGAAAUCGAUGAAUAUCUAAACCAAGCCAAGGAACGAGGCUAUUCAGCAGUUCUACAAUUGGGAUCCAAAGGAGUUAAUUACGCCACCAAUGUCAUCAUGCAGACGGCACUUAAGGGUGGAGGUAAUUUGGUGCAAACUAUUCGUCGCAGUUAUAGUUUGAGUGAUUUGUCUGAACCUGAUGUUCAUCGUACUCAAGACGAAAUUGACGAAAUUACUAGGCCACAGCAAAGAAUGCUAAGGCCUAGAAACCCAGUAGCUCGUUCUGCCUCAGGAAGUAGACAUUCGACUGGAAUGUAUUUCUCAGAGGUAGAUGUUACAUCUAAGAGUCCAGCAGACUUUACGAGUUAUAAUAUACGUUCAUCAGAGGACAUAAGCUCAGGAUAUUCCAGCGCUGAACAGAUGUCUGGAGGACUUAGUCGCACAUCAUCAAUGACAAAUGCAAAUAGAGCCCGAUUUAAGGCAAAAAAGGCUGAAGAAUGUUUUAUUCGUGAAAUUCCUGAAACCAUGAUUGCAUAUCGUUUUUACGAGGCACCACCAUCAGUUUCAAGAGAUUUGGUUCAUGAUACUUACAACGCUUGGAAAGAUGAAGUUUACUUUGACAAUGAACAAUACUUCCAAAAUCAAAUUUCUCAAGAUAAAGAUACAUGCUCUACAACAAGUACGAGUACGUAUAAAGAUGAAAAUCCAGAAUUGCCAAUUAUAAUGGAUUCGCCUGAAAUGAAUUUGAAAUAUGAUCUAUUUAAAAAGUGGCUUGAAGAGACAAAGAACUCACAAACAUUGGACACAAUUGAAAGUGGCGAAUUGUCUGAAUCUGAAGAUGAUGAAUUUCAAGAUCCACUCCCCGUGGAUAAACUUGAAAAUGAAAAAGACGAGGAAAAGGAAAAGGAAGUUGUAAAGGUAGAUGAAAUAACGCCUGAAGCUGAUGUGGAGCAGGAAAUAGAUCAUAGAAUAACAAUCGGACCGAAGGCACUCAAAGAAUCUUUGGAAGAAAUUCAAAAUAAUUUCCGUUCGGCUAUUGAAACACCCCAUAAAACCAACGAAACUUUAUAUGGUUUGACCCAAACGGCGCAACCAUUUAAAACCGAUUCCACCAUCCGCAGAUCAAUAAGUCACUGUAAGGGUAAAGCACCAGCUCCACCAAUAAAUCAGCAACCACCAAAAGACAAUGUAUUUCCUGAAUGCUCCAACUCUAGAAGCACCUCUCCCAUGCCAGACAAACCAACAAAAAAGAGUGGCAUUUUCAAAACGUACCUUCCGUCCAUAUUUCGUUCUGACAAUAAAGAAAAAAGCACCAGCGGUGUUUCUAAUUCUACAACCUCAAUACCCGCUGAGUUAUCAACUUCAAUUUCUGAACAAUACCAUCUAGAAACUGAAAUAUAGGUUCGAAUAUCACUCUCAGCAAACAGAAAAUAGUAAGAAGAUAUUUUUGAUUCGUCUAGACCAUAAUACUACAUUGGUCUUAACAGGAUUGUUUUAACACUCAUGCUCUGUACAUACUGCUGCCUAAACAAGGAAAAAUCUAUGUCAGCCAGUUGCACAACUCUUCCGCGAAGCAAAAAGUCAGAAAAGGCAAUGAAAACACGAAAGUCCGAAAAAUAGAUGAAGACGUCAUUAUACUCUAAAAACUGGCUGCGAUGCCAUUUUUCAGCGCACACAAAAAUUAAAAAACUAAAAAUUAACAUAAAAACAGAGAAACCACAAAAACAAACCCAAAAAUUUGUGUGUUUAUUAGAAAGAAGAGCAAGAAGUAAGAAGCAUGAAUUUCCCCGAAUGACAUAUUAAAAUAAUGAAGACGAAGAGACUUUGUAGACUGGUUGAAUGUCCUUAUUCCUAAUUUUCCUACUUAAGUUAUCUAUAAAUGAUUUAUAAGGCCAGAAUAAUAAUGGUCAUUUAUAUUAUAUAAUGUAGCAUUAGCGAUCUCAAUGCAGGCGUUAAAAGAAUAAUGAGAUUUUUUAAUUAUAAUUAUAAUUUUAUUUUUUAAUUUAUAAUUCUGGUGCUCUCUUUGCUGUAAAAAUUCAGCAAUAUUAUCGAUAUUAUUUUAGAUAGAAAAAGAUUUACCUACAUAUUACAAUUUAAUUGUUUUAAUUGUGUUUUAUUAGUUCCUGCUUUAUUAAAUUUGACAAGUUACUGUGAAAAUUCUCUUUUGAAUUUAAAAAAAGUCAACAUAAGAGAUGUUGUUAACUUUUUGCAUGUUAAGGUUACUUUAAUUUUUGCUUUUUGUCGAUGCUUAUCAGGCCACAAGGAUAAAGCUUGAAGGAGGUGCACUGGGGGCAAGUUAUUGAGCUUGAAGCAUUUUUGUUUUAAAUUUAAAUCUUAAAAUUAUGUUUAUCGUUAUGUUUAAACUUUUAUUUAAGUGUAUAAUGUUGUGUUAAGUCGAUAAAUAAUAAUUUGUUAUUUCGAAGUAAAUCAAACGAAACAAAAAAUAUUAUGUAUUUAUAUUAAUGAUGAUUCUAUACUUUAUAGGACGACUCCGAAAGAAAUAUAUAAAUUAUGAUUAAUGAUUAGCAAAAAGUAUUUAACAAAAUUGUAAUUGAAACAAAAUAUAGCUAUAAAGAUAAAUAAACAAUUCUUGAAAAAAUACAAA